GAUGAACGCUGGCGGCGUGCCUAAUACAUGCAAGUCGAGCGAACAGAUAAGGAGCUUGCUCCUUUGAAGUUAGCGGCGGACGGGUGAGUAACACGUGGGUAACCUACCUAUAAGACUGGGAUAACUUCGGGAAACCGGAGCUAAUACCGGAUAACAUUUAGAACCGCAUGGCUCUAAAGUGAAAGAUGGUUUUGCUAUCACUUAUAGAUGGACCCGCGCCGUAUUAGCUAGUUGGUAAGGUAACGGCUUACCAAGGCGACGAUACGUAGCCGACCUGAGAGGGUGAUCGGCCACACUGGAACUGAGACACGGUCCAGACUCCUACGGGAGGCAGCAGUAGGGAAUCUUCCGCAAUGGGCGAAAGCCUGACGGAGCAACGCCGCGUGAGUGAUGAAGGGUUUCGGCUCGUAAAACUCUGUUAUUAGGGAAGAACAAAUGUGUAAGUAACUGUGCACAUCUUGACGGUACCUAAUCAGAAAGCCACGGCUAACUACGUGCCAGCAGCCGCGGUAAUACGUAGGUGGCAAGCGUUAUCCGGAAUUAUUGGGCGUAAAGCGCGCGUAGGCGGUUUCUUAAGUCUGAUGUGAAAGCCCACGGCUCAACCGUGGAGGGUCAUUGGAAACUGGGAAACUUGAGUGCAGAAGAGGAAAGUGGAAUUCCAUGUGUAGCGGUGAAAUGCGCAGAGAUAUGGAGGAACACCAGUGGCGAAGGCGACUUUCUGGUCUGUAACUGACGCUGAUGUGCGAAAGCGUGGGGAUCAAACAGGAUUAGAUACCCUGGUAGUCCACGCCGUAAACGAUGAGUGCUAAGUGUUAGGGGGUUUCCGCCCCUUAGUGCUGCAGCUAACGCAUUAAGCACUCCGCCUGGGGAGUACGACCGCAAGGUUGAAACUCAAAGGAAUUGACGGGGACCCGCACAAGCGGUGGAGCAUGUGGUUUAAUUCGAAGCAACGCGAAGAACCUUACCAAAUCUUGACAUCCUUUGAAAACUCUAGAGACAGAGCCUUCCCCUUCGGGGGACAAAGUGACAGGUGGUGCAUGGUUGUCGUCAGCUCGUGUCGUGAGAUGUUGGGUUAAGUCCCGCAACGAGCGCAACCCUUAAGCUUAGUUGCCAUCAUCAAGUUGGGCACUCUAGGUUGACUGCCGGUGACAAACCGGAGGAAGGUGGGGAUGACGUCAAAUCAUCAUGCCCCUUAUGAUUUGGGCUACACACGUGCUACAAUGGACAAUACAAAGGGCAGCUAAACCGCGAGGUCAUGCAAAUCCCAUAAAGUUGUUCUCAGUUCGGAUUGUAGUCUGCAACUCGACUACAUGAAGCUGGAAUCGCUAGUAAUCGUAGAUCAGCAUGCUACGGUGAAUACGUUCCCGGGUCU
rnacentral:rRNA from 1 species